AAGUCUCAAGUGAAGUAAG
rnacentral:rRNA from 5 species